rnacentral:rRNA from 1 species
GACAGAGGUGGCAAGCGUUGUUCGGAUUUAUUGGGUGUAAAGGGUCCGUAGGCGGUCAGGCAAGUCUGAUGUGAAAUCCCAUGGCUCAACCGUGGAACUGCAUUGGAAACUGCCUGACUUGAGUACCGAAGAGGUGAAGGGAAUUCCCGGUGUAAGGGUGAAAUCUGUAGAUAUCGGGAGGAACACCAGUGGCGAAGGCGCUUCACUGGUCGGUAACUGACGCUGAGGGACGAAAGCAAGGGGAGCAAACAGG